UACGUAGGCAGCGAGCGUUGUUCGGAGUUACUGGGCGUAAAGGGUGUGUAGGCGGUUCUUUAAGUUUGGUGUGAAAUCUCCCGGCUCAACUGGGAGGGUGCGCCGAAUACUGAGGGACUAGAGUGCGGUAGGGGAGCGGGGAAUUCCUGGUGUAGCGGUGAAAUGCGCAGAUAUCAGGAGGAACACCAGUGGCGAAGGCGCCGCUCUGGGCCGUGACUGACGCUGAGGAGCGAAAGCGUGGGUAGCAAACAGG
rnacentral:rRNA from 1 species